rnacentral:rRNA from 1 species
GACAGAGGGGGCAAGCGUUGCUCGGAAUCACUGGGCGUAAAGGGCGCGUAGGCGGGAUGGCAAGUCAGUCGUGAAAUCUCUCGGCUCAACCGAGAAACGUCGGCUGAUACUGCCGUUCUUGAGGGAUGCAGAGGAGACUGGAAUUCCCGGUGUAGCGGUGAAAUGUGUAGAGAUCGGGAGGAACACCGGUGGCGAAGGCGGUUCUCUGGGCCUGUGCUGACGCUGAGGAGCGAAAGCGUGGGGAGCGAACAGG